AUCUUCCUCCGGUAGUGAGGUAUCUCAACUGACUGUUCAGUUAGUUACAGAUUGAACUCCUUGUUCUACUCUUUCCCUCCUCACUACUGCAAUUGACUAGUCUUUA
rnacentral:sRNA from 1 species